CCUACGGGUGGCAGCAGUGAGGAAUAUUGGUCAAUGGACGCAAGUCUGAACCAGCCAUGCCGCGUGCAGGAUGACGGCUCUAUGAGUUGUAAACUGCUUUUGUACGGGGGUAAACCCCGAUACGUGUAUCGGGUUGAAAGUAUCGUACGAAUAAGGAUCGGCUAACUACGUGCCAGCAGCCGCGGUAAUACGGAGGGUGCGAGCGUUAAUCGGAAUUACUGGGCGUAACGGGCUCGUAGGCCGGAUGUCAAGUCAACUGUGAAAUCCCCGGGCUCAACGGGGGAAUUGCCGUGGAAACUGGCAUGCUGGAGUGUGCGAGAGGAAGGUGGAAUUCCUGGUGUAGGGGUGAAAUGCGUAGAUAUCUGGAGGAACAUCAGUGGCGAAGGCGGCUUGCUGGAACAGAACUGACGCUGAUGAGCGAAAGCGUGGGUAGCAAACAGGAUUAGAUACCCCAGUAGUC
rnacentral:rRNA from 1 species